CGGUGGGACACAUCCCCCCAACGGGAUGCAAACUAUCUGUGAGGAUAGAUCAG
rfam:Aureimonas sp. Leaf454 contig_1, whole genome shotgun sequence.